AUGUGCCUGGAGUUCGGCUCGUGCUUCGGCGGCCGCAGACGGGACGACUACGGCCGCAGCAGAGGGAACGCCAACUGGUCGGCGCCGGCGUACCAGCAGCCGCCCACCGUCGUCGUCCGCGAAGGCCGGCCAAAAGCCGACCACGGCGACGCUGCCGGCCAGGGCGGGUACGCCGACUGGCAAGACAAGGCUGGCAGCGAGACGCCGCAGAAGCUUCCCGCAUGGCAAAACAAGGUCGGCGACGACGCCGGCAACGGCGCAUACACAUACACGCCGCGCCCCCAUGAGGCUGCGGCUGAUCAUAGGGAGCACGCUGGCAUGGAUUGCCACCAGUACCCAACCACUACCGCCACUCUCGCAAGGUUUCACAAAAGGAGAACUGUUCACCCAUUAUAUUUCGUCACUGGUGUGACAUAG
rnacentral:rRNA from 1 species